GAUGAACGCUGGCGGCGUGCCUAAUACAUGCAAGUCGAGCGAACAGACGAGGAGCUUGCUCCUCUGACGUUAGCGGCGGACGGGUGAGUAACACGUGGAUAACCUACCUAUAAGACUGGGAUAACUUCGGGAAACCGGAGCUAAUACCGGAUAAUAUAUUGAACCGCAUGGUUCAAUAGUGAAAGACGGUUUUGCUGUCACUUAUCGAUGGAUCCGCGCCGCAUUAGCUAGUUGGUAAGGUAACGGCUUACCAAGGCAACGAUGCGUAGCCGACCUGAGAGGGGGAUCGGCCACACGGGAACUGAGACACGGUCCAGAGUCCUACGGGAGGCAGCAGUAGGGAAUCUUCCGCAGUGGGCGAAAGCCUGACGGAGCAACGCCGCGUGAGUGAUGAAGGUCUUCGGAUCGUAAAACUCUGUUAUUAGGGAAGAACAAAUGUGUAAGUAACUAUGCACGUCUUGACGGUACCUGAUCAGAAAGCCACGGCUAACUACGUG
rnacentral:rRNA from 1 species